GUUAAGCGACUAAGCGUACACGGUGGAUGCCCUGGCAGUCAGAGGCGAUGAAGGACGUGCUAAUCUGCGAUAAGCGUCGGUAAGGUGAUAUGAACCGUUAUAACCGGCGAUUUCCGAAUGGGGAAACCCAGUGUGAUUCGUCACACUAUCAUUAACUGAAUCCAUAGGUUAAUGAGGCGAACCGGGGGAACUGAAACAUCUAAGUACCCCGAGGAAAAGAAAUCAACCGAGAUUCCCCCAGUAGCGGCGAGCGAACGGGGAGCAGCCCAGAGCCUGAAU
rnacentral:rRNA from 1 species